UACCAGCACCCGAGUGGUCGGGACGAUUAUUGGGCCUAAAGCAUCCGUAGCCGGUCCUACAAGUCUUCCGUUAAAUCCACCUGCUUAACAGAUGGGCUGCGGAAGAUACUAUAGGGCUAGGAGGCGGGAGAGGCAAGCGGUACUCAGUGGGUAGGGUAAAAUCCUCUGAUCCAUUGAAGACCACCGGUGGCGAAGGCGGGUCUCUGGGCCGAUACUGACGCUGAGGAGCGAAAGCGUGGGGAGCGAACAGG
rnacentral:rRNA from 1 species